rnacentral:rRNA from 1 species
CCUACGGGAGGCAGCAGUGAGGAAUAUUGGUCAAUGGACGCAAGUCUGAACCAGCCAUUCCGCGUGCAGGAAGACGGCUCUAUGAGUUGUAAACUGCUUUUGUACGAGGGUAAACUCGGAUCCGUGUAUCCGUUUGAAAGUAUCGUACGAAUAAGGAUCGGCGAACUCCGUGCCAGCAGCCGCGGUAAUACGUAGGAUUCAAGCGUUAUCCGGAUUUAUUGGGUUUAAAGGGUGCGUAGGCGGUCGGAUAAGUUAGAGGUGAAAUCCCGGGGCUCAACUUCGGAAUUGCCUCUGAUACUGUUCGGCUAGAGAGUAGUAGCGGUAGGCGGAAUGUAUGGUGUAGCGGUGAAAUGCGUAGAGAUCAUACAGAACACCGAUUGCGAAGGCAGCUUACCAAGCUACUUCUGACGUUGAGGCACGAAAGCGUGGGGAGCAAACAGGAUUAGAUACCCGUGUAGUC